UACGGGGGGGGUAAGCGUUGUUCGGAAUUACUGGGCGUAAAGGGCGCGUAGGCGGCAUGACAAGUCACUUGUGAAAUCUCCGGGCUUAACUCGGAACGGCCAAGUGAUACUGUCAAGCUAGAGUGCAGAAAGGGCAAUCGGAAUUCUUGGUGUAGCGGUGAAAUGCGUAGAUAUCAAGAGGAACACCUGAGGCGAAGGCGGGUUGCUAGGCUGACACUGACGCUGACAGCGCGAAAGCCAGGGGAGCAAACGGG
rnacentral:rRNA from 1 species